rnacentral:rRNA from 1 species
AAACACUUUCAGCAACGGAUGUCUUGGCUCCCAUAUCGAUGAAGAACGCAGCGAAAUGCGAUACGUCAUGCGAAUUGCAAAACCAGUGAGUCAUCAAAACUUUGAACGCAACUUGCACUUCC